rnacentral:rRNA from 1 species
UACGUAGGUGACAAGCGUUGUCCGGAUUUACUGGGCGUAAAGAGCGCGCAGGCGGUCUGUCAAGUCGAGUGUGAAAGCCCCCGGCUCAACUGGGGAGGGGCAUUCGAUACUGAUCGACUCGAAGGCAGGAGAGGGUAGUGGAAUUCCCGGUGUAGUGGUGAAAUGCGUAGAUAUCGGGAGGAACACCAGUGGCGAAGGCGGCGACCUGGGCCAAUACUGACGCUGAGGUGCGAAAGCGUGGGGAGCAAACAGG